CAUGUACCAUCACAUCAGGAAGGUCUUCACUUGUUCUUCAUUCCUGACCAAUUAUCAGAGCCUUCUUUAACCUGUCCAAGGUCCUCACUACUGGUACACUCAAGAGACCCCAACGCUGCCCUCUCUGAGUCGGGGUCAUCUUGACACAAAUAUCCCUGUUGCCAGAAGCUCUUACUCCAUCUAACAGACUUGCAAGUAGUGAAUCUCUGUGGGAUAAAAAAAAUCAACAUCAUAUAAUGGUAAAAUCCAAUUUUGUUAUUGUGAAACUAAAUUAUUUUACAUUCGUUUUCCCUCAGUAUGGAAAGAAUUUACCAUAAACAUCCCAUUUAAACCUCAUUGAAUCUCAUUGAAUUAAAUUAAGUUAAACACUU